GUGGAGAAGUAAGCCAAAGAACUCAUGAGACUUAUUCUCCCACAGAGUUUCGGGAGACUUUAGUCAAGCCUGGAAUCCUGGAUGUUUUCUUUGGCGAUAAAAGCUUCUGAUUUACAAGGACUACACCUUGACCUGGACAUGGUGAAUAUAGGAGGAUGUUCUCACAUGGAAAACACAGUAGACAGUCAUCUGAGCUGCUAAGAAGACCACUUCCCCCUCGAGGUCCCUUAUUUUUGGCUGGGGAAGCCCUGGACACCCCGUAGCCUUGUAAGCGCCAGCCUCAUCAUGUCCCAUCGCCUGUCGAACACAUAGUAGCCCGAUCCCAUGAGCCGGCGGCUGAAGAGGCAAACCUGGACGGAGACGCAAGAGAACCUGGUUGAGAGACCACUGAGGCAAGCAUGACACCCCAAGGCAUGUAAGCAGAGGGAGAGACAGGCUUAAAUAACAAGAAAAAAUGGUUCAAUAAAGGAGGAAAUGGCAAGGAAGUUUGGGAAUGAUGAGAGGAAUCAAAUGGAAGAAGUGCCGUGGAUGAUGACUGGAGUAGUGCAAGGAAGGUCUGUCAGUGUCAUCCGGAGUUUCCGUGUCUCCCUCAUCGCUGGAAAGUCGGCUGCUGUCCUCUGGUGCGUUCAUCCAGCUAUAA